GUGUGUGUGUGUGUGUGUGUGUUGGUGUGUGUGUGCGUGCGUUUGUUCUCCAUGCCCACCGUGGUUGUUCGUUGAAGAACACACCAACAUACCGUGGUACACACACAUAGCGAGGUAAUUUUCCCAUGACCUCGGUAUGUAAACCUCGCCAAACGCGUAGAAAUACUAUCAGGGUCAUUCUGUGAAAAUUCUAGGUAAACCUCGGAAUAUCGAUGUAGUACCGUUGUGUGUGGUCGGAAUGUGUAGCACACACCCGCCAGUGAAAUUCGAUUUUUGUUUUCCCAGCCCGUGAAACGGGGGUUACACACGCGCAUGCGCAAAUAUCCUAUUUGCGCAUGCGCAUGUAAUCCCCGUUUCAUAUCCGGAUUGUGACAAAAUGGCUGACGCUAGACGUGCCAGAACACUUCAGCGAGGCUGGGACUGUUGUGACAGAAAUAAAUAGAAGAAAAGGGUAUUCCUUUUAGUUUACAAAGGGGAAAUCAUUAAAGCUAGUGAAGGGAUCCACAGAGAAAAGGAACUUUCAACAG